GCCCUACGGGAGGCAGCAGUAGGGAAUCUUCCACAAUGGACGAAAGUCUGAUGGAGCAACGCCGCGUGAGUGAAGAAGGGUUUCGGCUCGUAAAGCUCUGUUGGUAGUGAAGAAAGAUAGAGGUAGUAACUGGCCUUUAUUUGACGGUAAUUACUUAGAAAGUCACGGCUAACUACGUGCCAGCAGCCGCGGUAAUACGUAGGUGGCAAGCGUUGUCCGGAUUUAUUGGGCGUAAAGCGAGUGCAGGCGGUUCAAUAAGACUGUUGUGAAAGCCUUCGGCUCAACCGGGGAA
rnacentral:rRNA from 1 species